UACGAAGGGGGCUAGCGUUGCUCGGAAUCACUGGGCGUAAAGCGCACGUAGGCGGAUCUUUAAGUCAGGGGUGAAAUCCUGGAGCUCAACUCCAGAACUGCCUUUGGUACUGGAGAGCUUGAGUCCGGAAGAGGUGAGUGGAACUCCGAGUGUAGAGGUGAAAUUCGUAGAUAUUCGGAAGAACACCAGUGGCGAAGGCGGCUCACUGGUCCGGUACUGACGCUGAUGUGCGAAAGCGUGGGGAGCAAACAGG
rnacentral:rRNA from 1 species